GGGCCUGAGCUCUUGCUUUGCACCUCCUUGUUUUGUAGUUCCUGCCUUGGAGCAGACCCAAGGCAAGCAAUUAUUGUUUCUGCUGCUGUGCCUUUCUCCUGGUGGCUGGAGAAGCAAGGCAAGGCGUAAUCUCAUCUUUUCUCUGCACGGAUCUACAAGCCCGUGGGGAGUCCUCUGAAACAGAAAAGCACCCCUGCUGGGUCCUGCCCAGUGCUGCUGCUGCUGCCGUCCUCCCGGACUGUCUGUGCGAAGGAGCGACUGUGGUCGGAGGCCUUCUGGGAGAGGUCCAGGCGGAGGCUGGGGGAGGAAGGAGGAUGUGCACGGAUUAUCCCGCUUGAACUGAGACAACUGGCAGCCAUAUGUGCCCAUUGAUCCUGGGAAGGCCAAAAACAGGGUUGUACCUUAGGAGUGCUAAGUGAAAAAGGACUCUUGAGUUCUGAUCAAGGAUGAAAUUAAAGUGCAUACACAAUAUUGCAGAGUGCUUGGCAAAUAGUGAGUCACCGUAGUAAGUUCUCUAAUAAAAAUUACUGAAAAUCUGUCUCCUGAUUUGCUUCUGGAUGAUAGCGAGGUGAACUGGGGGCUUAGCUAGGAAGGCAGCAUGGCCUGCUGCUGCUUACAGCUGUGCCUCGGACUAUGGUCCUGAGAACAGGGAGCAGUGGGUGUUGGUACCCAAGUUUGAGGGCUAUACAGAUCAGGAGAGACCUGUCCAGGCGUGGAGACUUGCGUGCGCUCUCUUUGGGGACACAUGGGUUAAAGCAGAGGCUCGGUAUGAGAGCCUAAUGCUAUUGAAAGGAGUGGCAAAACUCCAUUUCACUUUGGAUUGUCAAAAUGAUCUGUAGAGCCCCCUAAGAUUUGUGUUCUGUUAAUAAUUAUUACUUCUACAUAAAAGUAAACUUCUAUAUUUAAAACUUAUAACUUGGCAACCACAAAAUGCACAUGUCUAUAAUGAGUAACCGUGUGAGCUUAUUACUACAGCUCCUCCAUUCUCAUCCUUCCUCGACCCUAUGCUUUACCUGCUCUUUGUCUAAACUAGCCUGAAAGAUCUUUUUAGGCAGAGACCAUUUUUUCCACUUGCAUGGCAAAGCACCUCUGUGGCUGUGCGUAAAAUAAUAAUGGAAGUAUUUUAAAUCUGGAAAAACAAAUGUUCAUGCUUUUGACAAUUUCAGAAUAUGAAUGCAAGUGAUCAGGCAUGCGUGUCUAGAGAUCUGCUUUCUACAUACACAUAUUGUUUCCUUUUAAAGACAUCUGCAUCUACUGAAUUCAGUCCAGAAUCUAUCCUAGAAGUUUACCGUUAUUAUGCCUCAACCCAGCAAAGCGUGACUGUAGGGAGACUUAAAAUUAAGUAUACAUGUAAGUGCUUUGUUGGAUGCAGGCCUUUAAGAUUUUGUCUAUUUGUGCUCUUGUAAUUUUAAAAUGAAACAUAUUAUUGAAAGUGUUCUGUUCCUUAUUCUACUACUUCCUCAUUUAUUUUGAUUUUUUUACAUAGAAAUACAUAUCUACAUUCUAGAUGCUUUUGAAAAAAAAUCAAAACACACUAAAAUCAAAUGUAAAAAUAGUAUCUGCUUUUCAUUGAACUAAAUAAUAUCCUGUCUGCUCAUCAGCAUUGCUUUUGUAUGUAAACGGCAGCUCCCCUAUCACGGCCCCCUUGUGCCAAAACCUCUUGUUUUUCGAGGGGAGCCUGGCUAUUUUUAGCCAAGAGCAACUGUUUGCUCCAAAGUUAAGAGUUCUUCAUGCAGAAUCAGCCCUGCCUAUUUUCCUUCCUGAGGAUGGUAAAUACUGCUUUAUCUCCCCCUCAUUUUGCUAAUGGCACUGACUAAAUGUCAUGUUGAGCACAUGUUCAUAAGUGCUGUCCUUCCAGUUCUGCCAUUAUGAGCAACAUUGUUUGUGUUGUUAGAUGGGCUCACCUUUGGGUGAUCUACUAAUUUUGCAAGCCGUGAAGAUACCAGCUUGAAGAUAUCUGUUACCUGUUGCUGUAGGAGAUCGGACUGGGUUUGCGUGGUGCUUUGAAAGAGAAAUGAGAUAACAAGAUGGUCAAGCAGUAACUUUCUUGCAAUGUAAAGUAAUAAAUGAAUGUAAACAGGUAAUAGAUGAAGGUUCACCUUGUAAAUUGAGAUGGUGCCCAGUUCAGGUUGAUCUAAAUGGUUAGAAUAUCUCCAGAACUAUUAGUUACCUAGAUCAACUACGUUUGAUAUGGCAAAUGAUGUAGAAAUUCUUGUUUAAUACUUAUUUUGCAUAAAAGAAAUCUUAUCAAU
ensembl:lncRNA